GACGAACGCUGGCGGCGUGCUUAACACAUGCAAGUCGAACGGAAAGGCCCUGCUUGCAGGGUCCUCGAGUGGCGAACGGGUGAGUAACACUUGGGUGAUCUGCCCUGCACUUCGGGAUAAGCCUGGGAAACUGGGUCUAAUACCGGAUAGGAGCCAUUUUUAGUGUGAUGGUUGGAAAGUUUUUUCGGUGUAGGAUGAGCUCGCGGCCUAUCAGCUUGUUGGUGGGGUAAUGGCCUACCAAGGCGGCGACGGGUAGCCGGCCUGAGAGGGUGGACGGCCACAUUGGGACUGAGAUACGGCCCAGACUCCUACGGGAGGCAGCAGUGGGGAAUAUUGCACAAUGGGCGCAAGCCUGAUGCAGCGACGCCGCGUGGGGGAUGACGGCCUUCGGGUUGUAAACUCCUUUCGCUAGGGACGAAGCUUUUGUGACGGUACCUAGAUAAGAAGCACCGGCUAACUACGUG
rnacentral:rRNA from 1 species